UUUCCUGACCACUGGCGAUCCAGGAGAUACAAUCGGCUGAUGGGAAUUGUAGUUUACAGCCACUACCAGAGGCGGAGGGUGGGUCUCCUUGGUUACCGAAGGACGCCAGUGGCGCCCGGUCUCUUCCUUGAGCACAGCAGGGGACCGUACCUCACCUGUGGCCCAAAGACUUAAAAAUAGAGCGGACCCAGCGGUCCUCAUGCUUCCUACCGGUGGGGUCGCACUAUGUGCAGUCCAGGCUGGCCUUGAACUCAUGGUGACCCUUUUGCCUCAGCCUCCUGACUACUAGGAUUACAGGCGUGUGCUACCUGGCCCGGCUCCCCUCUUCCUUCAUUAAUACAAGCGACCGAAAAGUAGCUUUUGCUUUUAUUUAAUGUGGUUUGUCACUGAGAAAUCACACUUGUGCAGAGCGGUGAUUUGCUGUAUGUGCGAUGCAGGAUGAUUAAACCCAGCUAAUUCACA